rnacentral:tRNA from 1 species
CGAAGUAUUUAAAUUUCACUUACAAAGAAAUAAAGCUCUUUAAGCUACUUCGU